rnacentral:rRNA from 1 species
AUGAACGCUAGCGGCAGGCUUAAUACAUGCAAGUCGAACGGGAUCAGAGUAGCAAUACUUGAUGAGAGUGGCGCACGGGUGCGUAACGCGUAUGCAACCUACCUUUAACAGGUGAAUAGCCCCGAGAAAUCGGGAUUAAUACACCGUAACAUUGCGAGAUGGCAUCAUUUUGCAAUUAGAGAUUUAUCGGUUAAAGAUGGGCAUGCGUGACAUUAGCUAGUUGGUGAGGUAACGGCUCACCAAGGCCACGAUGUCUAGGGGUCCUGAGAGGGUUAUCCCCCACACUGGUACUGAGACACGGACCAGACUCCUACGGGAGGCAGCAGUAAGGAAUAUUGGUCAAUGGGCGCAAGCCUGAACCAGCCAUGCCGCGUGCAGGAAGACGGCCCUAUGGGUUGUAAACUGCUUUUGUCAGGGAAUAAACCUAUCUACGUGUAGAUAGCUGAAGGUACCUGAAGAAUAAGCAUCGGCUAACUCCGUG